CUACCCACAAGCCCUCGUGCUGCUCCAGGUUUGACUGCUGAGUUCCGUCUUCCUGCGCUCUUCCUCAAAGGGGACGAAAUUAGCCCAGGCACUAGUUAACUGGGCCUUGAGGGGAGCCCAGGGGGGCAUCGGGCUGCGGGGAGGCGAGGAGGAACACGCUUUUUAGGCUUGGUGUUUGACUGCCUCCUCUACCACCCAACUCCCUCCACCCAGACAAAAACAACCUUGAAAAGUAAAAGUAGGAGAGACCCCAGCCCUGUUGUUCCUCAACUUUACAUGGUUGAUUGCCUACAACUAAAACCACAGAAAACAAAACCAAGGUUAAGGUGACUGCAUAUGAUCUGGAGAUGAUUAGGAGCCACUGAGCAAUGAAACUGCAAGAACUGGUCUUUUACAAAGGAGACUGCUAUGGAAGAAGAAAAAGGUACUGAGUCUACCUCGGACCCCCAAGACUUAAGAGAGACUGUAGGCUUUUUCUGUUGUAAGAAGAGUGUUUGUCUUCUGGCUACCUAGUCAAAGCUCCUUGUCUGAUUGGGAGCACCCCCAGAGGCUAAUUUUUCUCCUUCCCAAUCUGAGAGCCAUUUGGAGGGCAGAUUUAACUAAGAGUGAAAAGGAAGGAAAGCAAGGAGGAUAGGAGCUGUGACCUGAGAGAAGAAUUUCAGAGUUCCAGAUAAUGCAAGUAGAAUGCAUUGGAAGAAUAGGAGAUAAGACUAUAUCCUGUUAUACUCUAAUUAAAAGUAAAAUGAAGGGAUUUGACUUUCUAAAGUUUCUUUGAGCUCUUAACUCUGAUUCAGUUCUUUCAGUGCAUUAUGUAACCCUUGUCUAAAUAUCCAGGGACUUUGCAGAGGGGGAUGGUUUUGUUUCUUAGCAAGAAGGAGUAUCCUUUUUUUGUUUGUAAGCCCCAGUUCUCUUUUAGAGAGUAUUCGAGAUGAAAAAGAUAUUCUAGGAUAUUGCCAACAGAUGGAGCAAGAAAACAAGAAAUAAAUGUAUACUGAAGACUUUCCUAGACUGAAGAACAUCCUUGAAUUUACAAAGGAGUGGUAGGCACAGUCCACUUUGUGUCUUGAUCUUUUUUUCCUCCGAUUUUAAAAUAGAUUUACAUGAAGGCAAGAUCUGAUUUAGUUGGAGAUACUUAUUCCUAUUACUAAUAGUUUGGGAUCUCAAUCAGAAACAACUGUUGUAAAUAAAAAAAAAACUGUUAAUAGCUCAUGUUCAGAUGUCUCUUUGACAUCUGCAUGAGUUAUUUGGCCUUACCUGAUUUUAUUUCCAUUUGAUGGUUAUUAAAACUGGUGUAAGCAAAAUUAUUUAUAUUACAAAUAUCUCAAAAUUUACUAGUAAAAUAUAAAGAAGAAACACUGAUUUUUUUUCCCCAACUUCCUAAUAUUUAUUGCCCUCAUGGAGAUCCUAUUUCUAACUGGCUAAUACUUUAAAUGCCUUUCAAUCAAAAUCUCAAAAUGUCCUAGAUUCAUUAUUUCCUUAUAAACCUGAAUACACAGCCAUAGUGAACUUGUCAAUCACCAUAAAAAAAAAUAGAAAAUGAGGAUUAUUAUGAAGGUUCUGAAUUUAACAUUUUAAAUGCCUCUUAAAAAAUUUUAAAACCCCUUUCUCUUCCCUGGGAUUCAUCUUGUAAUAAUUACUCAACAGAGUGAGGGCUAAGAGGACCACCCACCACUAAAUACAGUUCCAGGCUCCUAAUAGGAGCUUAAUAAAUUUGAAUUGAUCAGGAGGGAAAUGAUAUAAGGGAAAGAAAGAGCUUUGGCUCUGGCAGUAAGACGACCUAGGUUCAAAUCCUACC